UAGCAUACUUCCCUUCCUAAUGUUUUCUUGCAGGUUUCCUUUAUGGGAGAUUAUACCCCAGAGGAGGAUCUCUCUGCAACAGUGAAUGAUGACCCGAAACAGGAAGAAGAGCAGAACAGAAUGACCACAGAACAGGCCAAAGAAACAGAAGAAGUGCAAGAAGUCACUCACAGUGAAGAUAAAGAAGGAGAGGG